UAUAUACAUUAGAUAGCUAUAGAUAUAAAUAUCAUAAAAAAAAAGUUAUACUUUUAUAGGUAAUAAAGGUGCUAAAACUAGAACAGACAAAAUAUGUAUAUCUGAAGCAUUAAAACAUAAGAUAAGAGAUCUUAUGCAUAUAACCUAUCAAUAUAGUGACCAAAAGAUCGUAUAUAUAUCUUUGUAAAUUCAAAAAACUAAAUGGGGAAAUAGUUACUGGAAAACGCAUGAUAGUUUAUUGGACAAAGAACUUUAUACCGAAUACAUAAAUAUUUUUUGGAUAAAUUGGAAACAAAGGAA
rnacentral:lncRNA from 1 species